CCUACGGGAGGCAGCAGUAGGGAAUCUUCCGCAAUGGACGAAAGUCUGACGGAGCGACGCCGCGUGAGCGAAGAAGGUCUUCGGAUCGUAAAGCUCUGUUGUUAGGGAAGAAGAAGUGCCGUUCGAACAGGGCGGCGCGGUGACGGUACCUAACGAGAAAGCCCCGGCUAACUACGUGCCAGCAGCCGCGGUAAUACGUAGGGGGCGAGCGUUGUCCGGAAUUAUUGGGCGUAAAGCGCGCGCAGGCGGUCCCUUAAGUCUGAUGUGAAAGCCCACGGCUUAACCGUGGAGGGUCAUUGGAAACUGGGGGACUUGAGUGCAGAAGAGGAGAGCGGAAUUCCACGUGUAGCGGUGAAAUGCGUAGAGAUGUGGAGGAACACCAGUGGCGAAGGCGGCUCUCUGGUCUGUAACUGACGCUGAGGCGCGAAAGCGUGGGGAGCAAACAGGAUUAGAUACCCUGGUAG
rnacentral:rRNA from 1 species